rnacentral:antisense_RNA from 1 species
AGCUACAUCCGUCACCUGACACGGCCCUACCAGGAACAGCCGCGCUCCCGCGGAUUCUGGUGCUGCUCGCGUCCCCGCUCCCCUAUUCCCCUUAUUUUAUUCCUGGCUCCCCUCUUCGAAAGUCUUCCAUUCUUCAAACUAGAUUAUUUAAAAAUGAAAAAGGAAGAAAGGAAAGCGAGGUCAUCUCAUUGCUCUAUCCGCCAAUCAGGAGGCUGAAUGUCAGUUUUGAACUAAAAGCCGCUCCGCUCCUCUUCUAGAUUUGGAAAACAAGCGAAAUUAAACUAAACCGCUGCACGCCUCUGACGCGACAUCUGGACACGGCGCGGCGCUGGCGCUGCCGGAGCUGUCGGCCCGGCCUGGCGCCGGACUAGUGUCCCUUUUGAUGAGAAGAAUAAGCCUCAUUGUGAUUCAACAGCAGAGAUCAAAGAAAAGACUUCUGUUUUCUGGCCACCAGAUAUAUGUUAUCUGUGCUUAAAGAAUUGAAAAACACACAUCAAAGGAGAAUUCUCUUGGAAAGAGAGGGUUCAAGCAUCACUGUUAGGUGUGCUGGAAUCCUUUCCCGAGUCAGUACUGCUUUCUAGAAGAAAACCGGGGAGAUCUAUUUGGAAUGUAUCUAACUCCAAAGGAACCAUCAGAGGUAACAGGUGGAGAACUUCAGUUGAGGAAGUGGCAGGAAUUUGGGAAUGAGGAGCACAGUGAUUAAACUGGGGCCAUUCAUAUGAGAGUUUAAGAACUCAGACCAGUGACUUAGAUUGGCUUCUCUCACAUGGCAAGAAACAUUGCUGCUAGCACUUCCCGAGUUCUAUGUUCUACAACAUCCACCACUGGAUCUUAACAUAGACGUAAGAUCAAAUGUAAUAGCAUGUCAAACAAUGUGUAACUCCAGUUAUACAAACAUUACUGUAUCUCAUUGGGGAUACGAAGCUCUACACACUUGAAGAUGGUGAAGGAAUAUAAAAAUCUAUGUGUCUCACAGUCCAGACUUGGAGUACAAGUAAUAAGAAGAAUAAAACUUAAUCCCUCAAGUAGAUUCACCAUAAGUUAGCUCAGAGCAAUUCCAGUGCAAGUAUGGUCUGUGAUCCAAUAGUAUCUUACAGACAGCAAGUUGAACAUUGUGGGAUGCAUAAGCUAUUGAGGCCUUUGCAGCUUUCUGCUACAUGGAGGCUACGGCCAGAGUCAACAUUUAUGCUUUGCAGCACACUGGUCAGCUGUUUUUGCAAAUCAGAUUAAAUAAUUUUUAAAUGAGGCUGAGAGCAUGGGAGAUACUAAUGUGUGUUUCCUUGUGAGCUACUGCAUAAGUUAGGAAAUUGAAAUACAGAAAGAUGAAAAGUGAUUUGCC